GCGGCUGUAGUCUAGCAUGGAUUAGGACGCGGGCCCUCCAAGCCUGAGAUCCCGGGUUCAAAUCCCGGCAGCCGCA
rfam:Acidianus hospitalis W1, complete genome.